rnacentral:snRNA from 1 species
GUACUCGCUUUGACGGUACAUAUACUAAAAUUGGAACGAUACAGAGAAGAUUAGCAUGGACCCUGCGCAAGGAUGACACGUUACAAAAAAAAAAAAAAAAAAAAAAA